UACGGAGGGGGCUAGCGUUGUUCGGAAUUACUGGGCGUAAAGCGUACGUAGGCGGCUUUGUAAGUUAGAGGUGAAAGCCCAGAGCUCAACUCUGGAAUUGCCUUUAAGACUGCAUCGCUUGAAUCGUGGAGAGGUUAGUGGAAUUCCGAGUGUAGAGGUGAAAUUCGUAGAUAUUCGGAAGAACACCAGUGGCGAAGGCGACUUACUGGACACAUAUUGACGCUGAGGUGCGAAAGCGUGGGGAGCAAACAGG
rnacentral:rRNA from 1 species